GGUGUGACCCUUUAAUUCAACAUCUUUUACCUUUCCAUGACCAUGAGGCUCAAUUUGCCAAAUACGAGCUGUUUGAUCCACAGAACCUGAAGCUAAUUUCGUGCCACUGCAGUUCCAUGCCACCGAAUGCACCUUCUUCUUGUGUCCCUGGUACUCUCUGCUAUGAAGAUUUUUGAAGGGUAUUGUUUCCGCCAUUACUCUUC
rnacentral:misc_RNA from 1 species